rnacentral:snoRNA from 1 species
UGAGCAUCAGUGUUGAGCAAUCCUAAUUCGUUAUCCUUGCACUUUGAUUGUUAGUGAAGAAACUUUUGGGGAAUUAUUACUGAGAUGCUC